UUUCAUUUGUCUUUCAGAUUCCAUCUUAUUCAUUCCAGAGCAUUUUUCCAAUUUAUCAAGAUCAUUUUUAAUUCAAAAUCUAUGCUCCAAAGUGCUUGCAACUUCCCCUUGGAGCCAUCAACAGUUUUUGGAGAUUCACUGGUUGCAAAAAGUGUUUGGAUCAACUGUCUUGGAACCUGAAGUCCCAACUAUUCACAGGGCAAAAAAAGGACACAGCUCAAAUCUCAAAGGCCACAUCAAGUUAAUUCCUAAAGUAAAGGGGUAAAACUUCUGCCUGAUGUCAUGGCUGCAUCUGGUAGUCAACCAUGUCUAAGAUUUAAGGACUAACUUCAACUUACCUGGCCCUGGGAAUGGAAUUCAGAGCCUGAAGAGUUAGCCACCAGCUUCCUACACUGUACCUGGUGAAAGACAAGUACCUCAGUGCGAUUCAUAACAGCACCACCUUCAGUGGGAAGCUGUCUGGAAUUAGCAACUACAGUCUCCAGCAGAACUGAAACUCUCCAGACAUGCAGCAUAGACCUGAAAGAGGUUUGAUCAAAAAUUGCACCUGUACAUGAGGGUGAGUGGAGGAACUGAGAAGUCAAGUGACCAAAAGGUGGCAAGACUCCACAAGUAUAUCAAAGAAGAAGAUGGUACCCCUGCCUAUCCCUCUGUCCCCCUACCAAACUGUUUGUUGGCUCCUUAUCUGGUUGUUGACCUGGGAAACCAAAGGACAUGGUUUAAAGAGUGUCUGAAGCUUCUGCUGGCUGGGCAGGGGCCCUUGUCAGGAGUGGCCAUUCCACACCCCCCUCCCGUUUUGGGCUAGUGUGGCCUCAAAGGCCAUCCUACACAAGGAAUCUAAGAGAGAAGGUAACCCAGUUGGCUUGCCUCAUGAUGCUGGGCCUGCUAGUUGGCUUAGGAGGUGCAAGUUCAAAGCUGCCCUUUACCUGGACACAGGUGCCUCCUCUUCUCUGCUGCAGGGAUUUUUUCCAACUGCCCUGUGUCUACCUCCAAUGGGCUCUUGAACCCACUAUACCAAUGGCAGAGAUCUGUGACACAAAGAUGAGAAGCUGGAUACAGCCCAUUACAUCAUAAAUUUGUCCAACCACUACGGAGUUUGUCAGGGCAGCCGACCUUAAGCAACUUCCAUAAGCCUUUUCAGGUGAGAGGUGACAUUCUUUUGCAAGAUCAACAAGGACAAUACAGAGGUCAGUAUGUUGGUAUUUGCAGUCUAGCAAGGAUCCUAUCUAUUAUUCCUCAUUCUUUCCUGAAGGCAAUAAGGUGUCAGGCAAAAAUUUCACAGCUAUGUAUCAAGUGAAGCAUUUGAGUCUAAUUCUCUCAAGAAUCUUGCCAGCAAUCAUUAGUAGGGAGAUUCCCCCAGUCAAACUUAUACCCUUCCUAUAGACAGGGACAACAAUGCAUUUUUAUAUUG